rnacentral:rRNA from 1 species
AACGAACGCUGGCGGCAGGCUUAACACAUGCAAGUCGAGCGCCCCGCAAGGGGAGCGGCAGACGGGUGAGUAACGCGUGGGAAUCUACCUAGCUCUACGGAAUAACCCAGGGAAACUUGGACUAAUACCGUAUACGCCCCUCGGGGGAAAGAUUUAUCGGAGUUGGAUGAGCCCGCGUUGGAUUAGCUAGUUGGUGGGGUAAUGGCCUACCAAGGCGACGAUCCAUAGCUGGUCUGAGAGGAUGAUCAGCCACACUGGGACUGAGACACGGCCCAGACUCCUACGGGAGGCAGCAGUGGGGAAUAUUGGACAAUGGGCGAAAGCCUGAUCCAGCCAUGCCGCGUGAGUGAUGAAGGCCCUAGGGUUGUAAAGCUCUUUCACCGGUGAAGAUAAUGACGGUAACCGGAGAAGAAGCCCCGGCUAACUUCGUGCCAGCAGCCGCCGUAAAA